rnacentral:rRNA from 1 species
AUUGAACGCUGGCGGCAUGCUUUACACAUGCAAGUCGAACGGUAACAGGCCUUCGGGUGCUGACGAGUGGCGAACGGGUGCGUAAUGCAUCGGAACGUGCCCAGAGGUGGGGGAUAACGCAGCGCAAGCUGUGCUAAUACCGCAUGUGAUCUGAGGAUGAAAGCGGGGGACCAGGCAGCAAUGUUUGGCCUCGCGCCUUUGGAGCGGCCGAUGUCAGAUUAGGUAGUUGGUGGGGUAAAGGCCUACCAAGCCGACGAUCUGUAGCUGGUCUGAGAGGACGAACAGCCACACUGGGACUGAGACACGGCCCAGACUCCUACGGGAGGCAGCAGUGGGGAAUUUUGGACAAUGGGCGAAAGCCUGAUCCAGCAAUGCCGCGUGCGGGAAGAAGGCCUUCGGGUUGUAAACCGCUUUUGUACGGAACGAAAAGGCUCUGGCUAAUACCUGGGGCUGAUGACGGUACCGUAAGAAUAAGCACCGGCUAACUACGUG